GGGGGCGUAGCUCAGAUGGUAGAGCGUCGCUUAGCAUGCGAGAGGUACGGGGAUCGAUACCCCGCCUCCA
rnacentral:tRNA from 1 species